rnacentral:rRNA from 1 species
GUGGGGUCGGCAGGUGUCCACCAACGCAGGUGCCGGCAGCGUAUGGUUCAGAUCGUGUCGGGGGAUAUUGGGUUAAUUCCAGCAAUGAGCGAACCCCUGGUCCUUAGUUGCCAUCAUUCAGUGGGGAGCUCUAAGGAGACCGCCGGUGCCAAACCGGAGGAAGGUGGGGAUGACGUCAAGUCAUCAUGGCUUUUAUGGCCAGGGCUACACACGUGCUACAAUGGCAAGUACAGAGGGAAGCCAACCGGCGACGGGGAGCUAAUCCCAGAAAACUUGUCUUAGUCCGGAUUGCAGUCUGCAACUCGACUGCAUGAAGUUGGAAUCGCUAGUAAUCGCAGAUCAGCAUUGCUGCGGUGAAUACGUUCCCGGGUCUUGUACACACCGCCCGUCACACCAUGGGAGUUGAUUGCACCAGAAGCAGGUAGCCUGACCGCAAGGAGGGCGCUUACCACGGUGUGGUUAAUGACUGGGGUGAAGUCGUAACAAGGUAAAUGCCAACA